UCCGAUCAAUCAAUAGUACUUGUAACUAGUUUAUGUAGUGUCAUUCUUCUUAUCUUACCUUGAACUUACUUUGUUAUAUAUUAUUAUAUUUUUCUUUAUAUAUUUUCAUUAAUUCAUCAUACAUAUGUUGAUGAUGAAGUGGGUUAGUACUUUACACACCAUCUUACUCACCUCACAAACUCAGCUACCUACUUUCAAAAACAAAACCUCAACUACCCUAUCCUUCUUUGUUUCUUUGAAUCUCGUUUCUUUGUUUUUCUUCUUUUCAUCUUUAUUAUAUAUUAACUACAACCUCUUAUCCACAUAUCCUUUCAUUCUUCCACAUACACAAACACCAUAGUAACCACAUAUUUCUUCCACAAAUUAAUUUUUAUUAUAUAUCAUUUUAAUUACCCUUUUUUUUACAACAAAAAUUACAUUUUACCACAAGAUUAAUGGAGGAGUCGGGAGAAAAUUGGCCUUCUGAUUCUGAUUUGGUAAGAGCAAUUAAUUUUACCACUCAUAUUAAUAUAGAUAUAGUACAUAUAUAUAUAUGCUACAAGUUAUUAUGAAUUAAUCACGAUAAUAUUGGGUCUCAUGUAUGUUGCUUAGAAUUUUUUUUCGAUUUUAAGUUGUUAAUGCAUAGAGUAUAUAUAUUUAUUUUUUUUUUAUAAUUGCUUAAGUAUAUUAUAUGACUAACUUUUAUUUGUUGUUUUAAUUUAUUAUUAUACAUAGGAAAUAAGUGAUGACGUCAUAUUUGAAGAUGGGGAAUAUGAGGAUCAUUAUUGUAGUGAGAGUGGAAAUCCCACCGAUAGAAAGAGAAGAAAUGAGAGGGAAGUCGCAGAGAAAUUGCUUGCACUUUCACCUACCAUUCCUGGCUUGAAGAAGGUUUGUAGUAAUUAAAUUGAAUUUAGUUUUUUUUUUUUUCUUUUAUAAAAAUAAAUUUACUUAAUUAACAUAUAUUUACACUCAAA
rnacentral:lncRNA from 1 species